rnacentral:pre_miRNA from 1 species
UGCUCGAUUGCGAGAAUCGAUACUAAUACGCUGUUUCAAUUGUCCUGCACGGUCGAAGGAUUAAAAAUUCGCUGAGCCCAAAAUGGACGGCUCAUUUCGAUCUCGACUACGAAAUUGGAGUCUUAAAUCGUAUCAACGUCUCCAUUUUUGAUGAAGUUCGCAAAGGGAACAACAAACAGAUGGGUACGGCGAUGUUUGAAGUCGGCGAAGUCCUCGGCGCGCGUGGAAAUACGAAAGCAAAAAAAUUAAAACGUGGGGGUACGAUUUUUGUUCGAAUU